AGAAAUCAAUUUAACAAUUCUUGUUGACAGGUCUCUCUUAGAAGUUAAUUUACUGAAUCAAUCAAGGAUGCAUGAUCUAGUAAAAGACAUGAGAAGAGAGAUAGUUUGUCAAAUGUGUCCCCAACAUCCUGGAAAACGCAGCAGAAUUUGGCUUCAUGAGGAAGCAUUGAAAGUGCUCAAAAUCAACAUGGGAACAUAAAAAGUGGAGGGUCUUGUGCUAGAUGUGCAAACUUCGAAAGCUGAACCUUUAAGAACAGAAUCAUUU